GCUGGGUGUGGUGGUGCACGCCUGUAGUCCCAGCUACUCUGGAGGCUGAGGUGGGAGGGUCACUUGGACCCAGGAGGCCUCAGAGGUUGCAGUGAGCCAAGAUUGCUCACUGCACUCUAGCCUGGGUAACAGAGUGAGACCCUGUAUUUA
rfam:Gorilla gorilla gorilla genomic chromosome, chr10, whole genome shotgun sequence